UGGGGAAUUGUUCGCAAUGGGCGCAAGCCUGACGACGCAACGCCGCGUGGAGGAUGAAGGUCUUCGGAUUGUAAACUCCUGUUGCCCGGGACGAAUUGCUCCAACCUAAUACGUUGGAGUUUGACGGUACCGGGUGAGGAAGCCCCGGCUAACUCUGUGCCAGCAGCCGCGGUAAUACAGAGGGGGCAAGCGUUGUUCGGAAUUACUGGGCGUAAAGGGCGCGUAGGCGGCCUUCUAAGUCAGACGUGAAAUCCCCGGGCUCAACCCGGGAACUGCGUCUGAUACUGGAAGGCUUGAAUCCGGGAGAGGGAUGUGGAAUUCCAGGUGUAGCGGUGAAAUGCGUAGAUAUCUGGAGGAACACCGGUGGCGAAGGCGGCAUCCUGGACCGGUAUUGACGCUGAGGCGCGAAAGCCAGGGGAGCAAACGGG
rnacentral:rRNA from 1 species